AAAAUCAGUUGAAUGAAAACACACCGUGUGCAAUGUUUAGCUCGUUUUUAACACAAUCCAGUGCUCUGUGCAAUGGAAAGAAAGCGAUGCACUGCAUUUGCCAGCUGUGAGUUUGAGUGUUCUCAGGCAGCUUAAUCAUCUCCUUCUUCUCGUCAUCCUACAGUUUCCACACAGUUCAGAGACGCCAACGGACGACGCUCCCUGUGUUAUGCAGGUUGCUUGGAAACCGGUGCAUUGGGAGCAUGUAGUGCAACACACAGAGGCACAGGAUGCAGUACGUACAGAAAAACACACGCUCAAGGCCCACGUGUGGACAGCAUCCUCCAGACGCUCAUGAAGAUGUCCCACGGACUUCUGCUGGAUUUUACUGUGCCGUCUGAUGGUGACAAGAGAUGUUUCAAUGAGUCAAUGAGUUCACACAGCCCUUCGGUCGCGGCGUCCCGUGGAUGGAUCAGAGAUGUCAUCUGGUUGUCUCAAUUUGUGGAGUUUGGACUUUGUCCGGCCUCACCCCCUCCAGCUCAGAGGAUAAAGCCGGAUCAACAUCACAUCCCUUCUGGUAUCCAUGGGCUCGAGAAGGAUACAGACACUUCCUUUUUGCUCUUCUGAAGUUAGCUAAAGAUCUGGCGCCCCAGUCCAGGAUUAACACAGCAGCCUCUUUUCAGUCGAACGACUGGUUAAACUCUAUGAAAUCAGGCAAUGAGAUUACAAGGCUUGACUUUCCCAAAAGCGCUUACACAGUCUGCUUUAGAUUCCCACCUCUGUCCUUUUGUCCCAGACGGCCUCGGCAGUCACCGGUGGCCUCGGCUCUUCACCAAACCAGACUCUCACUGUUAAACAGCGUCCUAACAUAGAACAUGUGUUCCUGUGUUGACAACUGCACUUGAUGGAGGCGGAGGCUUGUGGGAACGACAACGUGAGACGGGGGAAUUGAAGUCUCGCAGAUCUGUCACAAAACCAGGGGCUUUGUUUGGGAUUUGGAUCCGCUGUUCAGAGAUCAUCGCUUGGCACGGAGGGUCUGCCGCGCUCAUCAGCUGUUGAUUAUUGACAGUGUCUCGAGGUGUCAUCAAAAUGAGAGACAUCUGUGUAGAGUAGAUGAGUGGUUUGAUGCGUGUGGACAUGCAUGAAUAUUAAUGCACGGUCAUAAACAAUGAUAUGGGUGAGAGAGAAACAUCAUGAAACAAGGAAAAAGGAGACGGUCUGUUUAGCUCGUCUCUGGUUUUGGCCUAGAGUCGCCACUGUCGACUGUUCAACUUUGGCUUGCUUCGCUGCGGAGACUUGGGACGUUUAAUAUCAAACUGGAAAGAUGCAUCUGCAUUUAAUUCCCAUUUAUGUUCUUUCUUAAAGAGACAGUUCACCCAAAUUCAGCCAUUAACUCUGUUUCUUUCUCCUGUUGAACACAGAAGAUGAUAAUUCAAAGAAUGUUGGUAACCAAAUAGUUGCCGGUAGCCAUUGACUUUCACAGAGGAAAAACAAUACUAUAGACGUCAUUGGCUACCAUCAACUAUAUGACACCAGAUGCUGGUAAAUGAUGAGAACUGUCACUUUAAAUGGUCUUUUUUGAGUUGCGAAUGUAGUGUAUUUAAAGCUCGGGAUAUCCUCAUUAUGGAUUCAGGCCAUGUUUUUGACUUUCCUGAAACAGUGACUCCAGCUCAUGUCCCAUAAUUCCAAGUUUGUUCCUUUGUGUGUUAGUCCCAAAUAAAUGUCAAAAUCUCUCAAUUCAUAUGACAUCCAGGAGACCAUUAAAUGUGUUGAAUUGAAACGCAGCUGAGGCAACGUGUGUCACGCAGAGUUCAGAUCUGCUGGAGCCUGAGACUGUUAGAGCAACUCGGAUUAGUGAUUCGGAGAGGAUGGAAUGAAAUAACUUCAUCACUUUAGUCCAUAUGAUAGAGACAGUUCCUGUUGCUCAAACAGUUAAGGAUGGUGCUAUAACAACACCAAGGCCAUGGGUUUGAUUCCCAGGGAAUGCAUGAACUGAUCAAAUGUAUACUUUGCAUGCAAUAU